rnacentral:ncRNA from 1 species
UUACCCUUGCGCACUGAUGGUUCCCGGCAACGGGAUCAAAAGGGAACGCAGUGACGACGCCCCGCGUCGAGUCUGCGGCUGCCCCCGCAACUGUAAGCGGCGAGUUCGUGCCAUUGAGCGCCACUGGGAAACCGGGAAGGCCGGCAUCGGAACCGUGACCCGCAAGCCAGGAGACCUGCCAUCGACCGAGGUCCAUGC